rnacentral:rRNA from 1 species
AUUGAACGCUGGCGGCAGGCCUAACACAUGCAAGUCGAACGGUAACAGGAAGCAGCUUGCUGCUUUGCUGACGAGUGGCGGACGGGUGAGUAAUGUCUGGGAAACUGCCUGAUGGAGGGGGAUAACUACUGGAAACGGUAGCUAAUACCGCAUAACGUCGCAAGACCAAAGAGGGGGACCUUAGGGCCUCUUGCCAUCGGAUGCGCCCAGAUGGGAUUAGCUAGUAGGUGGGGUAACGGCUCACCUAGGCGACGAUCCCUAGCUGGUCUGAGAGGAUGACCAGCCACACUGGAACUGAGGCACGGGCCAGACUCCUACGGGAGGCAGCAGUGGGGAAUAUUGCACAAUGGGCGCAAGCCUGAUGCAGCAAUGCCGCGUGUAUGAAGAAGGCCUUCGGGUUGUAAAGUACUUUCAGCGGGGAGGAAGGGAGUAAAGUUAAUACCUUUGCUCAUUGACGUUACCCGCAGAAGAAGCACCGGCUAACUCCGU